rnacentral:rRNA from 1 species
AUGAACGCUAGCUACAGGCUUAACACAUGCAAGUCGAGGGGCAUCAGGAAGAAAGCUUGCUUUCUUUGCUGGCGACCGGCGCACGGGUGAGUAACACGUAUCCAACCUGCCCUUUACUCGGGGAUAGCCUUUCGAAAGAAAGAUUAAUACCCGAUAGCAUAAUGAUUCCGCAUGGUUUCAUUAUUAAAGGAUUCCGGUAAAGGAUGGGGAUGCGUUCCAUUAGGUUGUUGGUGAGGUAACGGCUCACCAAGCCUUCGAUGGAUAGGGGUUCUGAGAGGAAGGUCCCCCACAUUGGAACUGAGACACGGUCCAAACUCCUACGGGAGGCAGCAGUGAGGAAUAUUGGUCAAUGGGCGCUAGCCUGAACCAGCCAAGUAGCGUGAAGGAUGAAGGCUCUAUGGGUCGUAAACUUCUUUUAUAUAAGAAUAAAGUGCAGUAUGUAUACUGUUUUGUAUGUAUUAUAUGAAUAAGGAUCGGCUAACUCCGUGCCAGCAGCCGCGGUAAUACGGAGGAUCCGAGCGUUAUCCGGAUUUAUUGGGUUUAAAGGGAGCGUAGGUGGACUGGUAAGUCAGUUGUGAAAGUUUGCGGCUCAACCGUAAAAUUGCAGUUGAUACUGUCAGUCUUGAGUACAGUAGAGGUGGGCGGAAUUCGUGGUGUAGCGGUGAAAUGCUUAGAUAUCACGAAGAACUCCGAUUGCGAAGGCAGCUCACUGGACUGCAACUGACACUGAUGCUCGAAAGUGUGGGUAUCAAACAGGAUUAGAUACCCUGGUAGUCCACACAGUAAACGAUGAAUACUCGCUGUUUGCGAUAUACAGUAAGCGGCCAAGCGAAAGCAUUAAGUAUUCCACCUGGGGAGUACGCCGGCAACGGUGAAACUCAAAGGAAUUGACGGGGGCCCGCACAAGCAGUGGAGUAUGUGGUUUAAUUCGAAGCAACGCGAAGAACCUUACCAAGUCUUGACAUCCCUUGACGAUGCUGGAAACAGCAUUUCUCUUCGGAGCAAGGAGACAGGUGGUGCAUGGUUGUCGUCAGCUCGUGCCGUGAGGUGUCGGCUUAAGUGCCAUAACGAGCGCAACCCUUAUCUUCAGUUACUAACAGGUCAUGCUGAGGACUCUGGAGAGACUGCCGUCGUAAGAUGUGAGGAAGGUGGGGAUGACGUCAAAUCAGCACGGCCCUUACGUCCGGGGCUACACACGUGUUACAAUGGGGGGUACAGAAGGCAGCUAGCGGGUGACCGUAUGCUAAUCCCAAAAUCCUCUCUCAGUUCGGAUCGAAGUCUGCAACCCGACUUCGUGAAGCUGGAUUCGCUAGUAAUCGCGCAUCAGCCACGGCGCGGUGAAUACGUUCCCGGGCCUUGUACACACCGCCCGUCAAGCCAUGGGAGCCGGGGGUACCUGAAGUACGUAACCGCAAGGAUCGUCCUAGGGUAAAACUGGUGACUGGGGCU